UUAAUUAUGUAUAGAACCCCGUUAUCAGAAAAUGGGUAGUUUCGUGUUCGUCGGAAAACGUAACGUACAGAAAGUUCCUAAAGUCGAACGUGAUCAAAAGGAUCCAAGUAUAGUUCGCCGGUAAGUUGAAGGAAGGCCCACGCGGUUAAGAAGCAGGAGACUACUGAUAGUAAGUACAUUUUCGAUGUAGUAAAUGGCGGUUAUAAGUUUAUUUUUUCCGUCGGAAAACGGUAACGUACAAAAAGAUCUGUCUAAAUGUAUCAAAAGGAUCUUAGUAUAAAACUGGAUCAAAAGGAUCAUAGUAUAGAAAUUGAUGCUAGAAGCUCGCCGGUAAAAAGAACGAAAGCCCAUGUAGCCAAGCUGUAGCAGGCUACGGAUGGUUGUUACAUUUUAGAUGUAGUAAAUUGCGGUAAACGGUAACGUACAGAAAGAGAUAAAAGGAGCAAUUGAUCAAAAGGAUCAUAGUAUUGAAAUUUAUCAAAAAGAAAAAAUCAUAGAAUAAAAAAUAAAAAUUAUUACCGGAAGUUUGUCGGUAAGUAGACUGAAAACCCACGUGACAUUUAUCAUGUUGUUAAUACGCCCGUUAAUACGUUUAUAGUGGUAUUUAAUAAGAAUGGGAGGCCUCGAUAUAUUUAAAAUUAUUAUUUAUUUAUUUGUUCUACUUUCGAUAUUAGAGGAGCGUAUCAUGAUAUUGAUACAUUAACGAACGGUGUGGUUUGAGCUAUCAAGAGAAUAGCAGGCAGUGUUAGGUUGUUAUAAGCUUAUAUUUGGCACGAUAACGGCCGAUCAUAUAUUUACUAAAACUCGUUAAAACUAAAAUGAGGUGUACUAGCAUUCUUACGUCAAAUUGACUUAAAAUAGUUAUUUGCUUUUGUGAUGAUGGCAUACAUCACAGUGUAGAAUAUGAAAAAACAUUAUAUGCUAGUGACUAGACGAGUUUGAUGUUAACUGGCUGAAGAAACAGUAUUUUGAUUCCUUCUCAGAGAGUAGAAUGGCUCGGGGAUGUGAUCGAUAUGCAUACAAUGCAGUUUUUCAUAAUUAAAAAUUGAGUAGCUAGGCUAGAAAAAAGUAUUGAUUCGAUGAUCUAUCUAAUUUAUCAAACGAAAGAAAAAGUAGUACCAAAAGAUAAAUUAAUAGCUAGUCUUGUAGGGCAGACAAUUUCCUUUCAGAGUGUGGUUGUAAAUAAAGUUUGGUGAUAACAAUGCAUAUAUACAAUUGCAUAAAUACCAGAGCUAGUUGGAAAGCUCCCCUUAUUGUAACGUUGCAGAUAUUUCCAAACUUAGAUUAUGGAAAGAAAGCACUAGGCAGUUAAUCAACGGUGGAAAAGAUUUCAAACACAAUCAGUUGUUUUUGUGUAAUAUAUUUGCUGAUGCAAGUACCACAAGUGAUGGUUUAUGGAGGUUUUAUAGAAAGUUGUAGCUUGAAUGUAGAUAUAGGCGAAAUGACUGUCAAGCUAACGAUUUUCAUAAAAAUAAAAAAGCAAAUUUAUUUUCAAUUUGUUUUAUUCCAUUGACGAAGAGAGUAAAGGUAUGUACUCGUGGUCUUUGAGACCCGAAAAUGAGAAAAUUGGAAUGUACAUGAUCUUAAUAAAAAGAGCAACCUGUUCCCGGAAGUGAACAGAUUAUUGACGAAAAGAGAAAAGUUAUUCCUGGAAGUGAUUACUAUAUUACACUGUUAAAAUCAAGGAGGUACACUGCCAGUGUUUCUAUAAACGAAACAGGUAAUGCAUAUUGUGAUUUAAAAUGAAGUCAAUACAUUAAGCCACCGGAAGUUGGUUUUCAAGAUAAACCGGAUAAGUAUUCCGUCGUUCAACAUGACGUAAGUAAAAUUUCUUAUGAUCAAGAAAAUGCCUUGCAUACGGCUAGAAAAGGUAUGUUAUUGCUCCCGGAAGUGAGCAGAAAGAGUUUGCUAUGGUCCCCGGAAGUGGACAAAGAGCCCAGUAGAUUGCUCCCGGAAGUGAGCAGAAAUUGUAGGCUAUGGUCCCCGGAAGUGGACAUAGAGCUCAGUAGAUUGCUCCCGGAAGUGAGCAGAGAUGCUCCAUGAAGAGAGCAGAGAGUAUGCUAUGGUCCCCGGAUGUUAUAUUAUAUGAAAUGUUUUAAAUGCUUUGCAAAAUUCGUCCAUCAAAGUGUAUUCAGACAAUAAAAUGUAAAAUCUAUAUUAUUGAAUGGUAGUCAAAAGAAAUAGCUUUAGAUUUAAAUAUGUUGUGUGGAUACUGGAUUCAAUGAAAAGAGGCAGUGGGUGCCUUAGUUCAAUAUGGGGAAACAAUGUAAACUGGUUAGUUCAGAAACUAGGUUGGUAUUAAUCUGUAUCAAUAAGAUGAUAUCAGAGAAAGCAAAAUGCAUCCUUAUUGUUCCAAAAAGGGGCAGUUCGCCUUAUUGGCUAAUAUUGAUUUGUCAUACGGACAUUUUAGAGAUAUUGUGAAAUAUUGCAAAAAGUUUGCUAGAGACUGUAUGAUUCCAGGUUGUUUUGGUAACACUAGAUUAUCAUUAAAUAAGAUAGCGUUAAGAUGCAUAUCACAAUACAGUUAUUGAUGUAUAGUACAUAUGUUUGACAGGAAAUGUUUUGAGAGGUACUCUGAAGGAGCGAUUAGAGGGCUCGGGCUUGCAUGGGCUUCGAAGAGAUAAGAUGGCGGACAGAAUGGCUAAGUAAAUACUUAGAACAAUCAAGAGCAGACAAUACGGUGAAGAAAAGAAUUCUUCAUGUGCACAUUUCAUAUACUGUGAAGAAAAUGUAGUCGCCAUGCCAGCCUUACAUAUAUCAGUAGUAAUGUACAUGGCUCAAUUGAUGGAUCUGUGUUUUACAGUAUUAAAUGGAUCCAUUCUUUAAUAGUGUACAUGAUCCAAAGAAAGAUUUAACAAACUAUUAUAAGAAGCUUCAAAGCGUGUGUGUUUCAAACCAUCUCACAAGAAAGAUGUAUCAUGUACAUGUGCAUUCAUUAGAGAUGAUACAAACAUUGUGUUUGAUAUAAGGAGAUUCCACUGUUUUCAUUGAUUGAUCAUUUUUGGGUUAUGCAUGUACAUGUAUCAUGCAUAUUAACAAAUUAAGUGAGUUUGAUUGUAAUGACCUACAAUUGAAAUCUGAUCACUUUGUUAUUAAUGUACGCCAUUAUAAUACUGGCAUGUUUACGAAUGGUUCGGAUAUUAUAAUUGCAAAAUGUACAACUACAACUUCCCAUAUGGCGUUUUAUUAACAAAUAUGUAAUUAGGAAAUUGGUCAGAUGAAUCAAAUGAUUUUUUGUUCAAACCAGUUUUUGGUUAUAUAUAUGUAAUUAUUUAGACUAGCUAACGCCGAGGGCGUGUUUUAGAGAUGUUUGAAGCGACAUGGUCGAUGGAAGUCUGAUAGGGCUUAAGAUGGGUACAUUGAUUAUUCUCUAGACAAAAAAGCUUUUUAUCACUAGACAAUUGAAAUUAUAAUUGAUUUGCGGUUCGAAUUUAAAAACUUACUAACCUUUGUUUUUGUUCUAUCGCAAGCCUUGCCUAAUGCAAAACGGGUUGUGUUUUUUGCUUAGUUGUGUGAAGACUUUUCCGUUCUGUGCGUUACGGAGUAUAGCACAGAACGUAUGUCUAAACAUAACGCACCGCACAAAACAGGUAUAUGUGCGGUUCGUUCAUGCGCGUGGUUGUCACGUGAGUGAUGGUCAAUCAGGUGGACAUAGUCGGGAAUUUGCACGGGGUGUUCAUUGUUUGGUCAGUUCUACGCUAGACUUCGAUCAGUAAACUUUUACUUUUUUAAAUUCGAACCGCAUUAGUAGUAAAUUGGCUCAAAUGGCAUGUUAUGUUUGUGUUACAUAAUGUUUAGUAUUGGUUGUUUUCAGGUACAGUUUUCCAGAGUUAUUUUACAUGCGGUAUCUGAUGAAUUUUUAUCUCUGGUUUUUACCCUGGUCUUCAAAACACCAAUUAAGGACACAAUACUAGAAGUGAUGUAUACACAUUAUACAGUCCACUCUCGUUAUCUCGACAUCGGAUAUCUCGAUAUUCUCGAUAUGUCGAAGUAAGCUCAAUGUCCCAUUUUUUUCCUUCUUUAUCUAUAUAAAUAAACAUCGCUUAUCUCGAUUUUCGUUAUGUCGAAUAAUUCGAUAUGUCGAUAUAAAAUUUUGUCCCGAGUCCCGAUUUAACAUGUUUUUACCGCGGUUUAUCUCGAAGUGCGAAUAACUUUUCCAGUGUCGGCAAAAGGUGAGAAACUUUUUCUUUGAUACCUCACCGUCCCGCUACGCCCGGCUGCUCCCGAUACUAUGCGGUAGGAAAUUGAUCCGAUUAUUGCAUCAAUGAUCACACGUGUGUAAUGUCGUUAGCUAUUAACACUUGAUUAAGGCCUGUCACUUUAAGUGUCACUUUAAUAUCAAUUAACUGCAAUUAAUACACAGCCUGCCGAAAGGCCGAAAGACUAAUUGUUUUCACAAACAACAUUCCAAAAUGCAUUGAGUUAUAUUUAUGCGUAUAUACACCGUCGUUUACUCGACAGUUUAAAAAAAUUAUAACUGCAUGUGUUCAUGCAAUUCUGUAAUACUUAAAACGUCAUUUUAAGCAUUUAAAUAGCAAAAUUAAUCGUGCCUCGUAAAACGCGUAUAUAUCAGGAAGAGAGUAUUAUGCCACACGGUGACGGCUUUAGUAAAAUCACUUAGCAGGUAUUAAGAUGUUAAAAACAAGGUAAAUUUUCGUCUCAUUUUUCUUUGAAAACGCCUAAUCGGAUAUCUCGAACUUAUUUUUCUUUGAAAACGCCUAAUCGGAUAUCUCGAACUCUCGUUAUCUCGAUAUGUUUUCUUGUUCCCGCCGACUUCGAGAUAACGAGAGUGGACUGUAGUUAUAAUUUGUUAUAUAAUUUAUAGAUCGAAAAUUGUCCUGUCAAGGUUGUACUACGAUUGUACUUGAUUGCUAUAUGAUACGAAUAUGUAAUAUUCGUGGAUGUGUGUUGUCAAUAAACUGAUCGCAAGCCUUGCUUAAUGCAAAA